GACAGGAGGGGUGGGAAAUUGUAAAAAGCCCGACGGGGAUGAGCUGUAAUUGUCGCGCUUUUCAAAAUGCUCAAUUUGCAAUGCAAAUGUCAAGCAUUAGUUUAGCUCAGCUAACGCCCGUUGUCAACAGAUGGCGCCACCGCGCAAUGAAAAUACUUUUAUGGCCCGCAGUGUAUGUGUACGUACAGGGCGGGACGCGGGGCGAUGUGCGAUGGCAGAUCAAGCUGGCAAUGUUUGGCAACAGCUUAGCGCACAAUCAAUUAAACUGGUUUAUUGACACUUUUCCUCUGACACAGACACACUUACAAACUUGACACUAACACACAGAAGAGGGGAAAUCGUAUAAGAAGAAGAUAAGGGAAAAGGUUGUGACGGGCUUUUGUAUACCCUGCUAUCUGAGGUUAUGAGGUUUGAGUAAGACUUUGCAAAGGGAAAAUUAUUAUUAUUAAUGUGACAGAUCCUGAUACCUCAUACUCAUUGUAUAUACCUCAAAAUACCCUAUAUUCUUUCUAAUUUUUCUCACAUUAAACUCAUGACACCAUUUUCCCCCAUACUUAAACACACCCUCCGCCCUCUGAACACUUAAACAUCUCAUACAAAAAAAAGUAAACUGCGCAAUUAGUUGACUUAACUUCUAUGACAUAGAAGCAGCAGCCACCACCCCCCUGGAAAGGUUCCCACUUCUGUGCUCAAGCAAACGGAAAUUGAGUGUCCUUGCAGAAGGGAUUUAUUUAUGGUUCAUAGAUUAAAUACUAAUUAACACCCAACCACACAAACACAGGCCAGGCCAGUGUGUUGGCAUUUGAUUUAUGUCUGAGGAGGGAGCAUCUCUCUGCUUUUGUGCGUGUGUCCUGUAAGGAUUAGAAUGGAAAAGAAUAACAGGGCAGACCAAAAGGACCCACAAAAAAAAAAAAGAAAACAUUUUCGUAACACACCAAUGGGCCAUUGACCAAGGUCCUCGGCCUCGUCCUCGUCCUCGUCCUCAUCCACGUCCUCGUCUGCGACUAUUAUGCGUAUCUCUCGCUCGCUGCGCUUAAUGCCAUAAAUUCUGCUUAAAUUAUUGGGGUUGCUUAACACGCUCCAUUUUCGUUUUUCCGAUUCGGAUUCGCAUUUACUUUUAUGCUCUUCAUUUGUUUUUUGGUUUCGUUGGGCCCUUCAUGUAGAUGCCACCUUUAAGUCAGCUCUUCGAGACUCAAAUUUCUAUAUAAAGAUAUAGUCAGAAUGUUUUUCAGUGUAGAACUGCGUGUAGUAUGAGUACUACGCCUGGUUAAAUUUAUGUGUCUGCAUGUCGCGGACGCGUAAAAAACCUGCAUAAGAAUCAGAUUCACUGGGCUUUUCAUUGAAUGAGUGGGUGGGUGAGAGAUGCGACGUAUAAUCAAGCCAGACAAUGCACAUAAAGUCUGACCAACUCUUUGGAGGUCUGAGUGCGUUGAUUAACGACUAACUGUCUUGUUAAGCGCUGCCAAAAAGGCAAAACUUAACAUUAUAUUUCAUUUUUCUUUUAUAUUUUCAAAUAUAUUCCAUUUCUUUGAGUGCAUUUUUCAAUACUGCCGCUUGAUCCACACAUCCGAUUAUGGUAUUUAUCGGACUAUGCAAAUGAAAGAGGAAAAUCAUCGCUGAUGGUUUAAGUCUGCCUCAUUUGAAUGCACUAAUUAAAUGUGCUUUAACGGAAAAUCACUUAAAAACCAGCACUGGCAAUCUGAGCUUUAUGAUGACAGGACCGUCAGAAGGGGCAGCAUAAAGAUUGAUAGAUUGAUUUUUAAUACGCUGGUUUUAUGGUUACUCAUUUGUACUAUAUACGAGUAAAUUUCAUAUUUUACAUUUUGCUGAUAAGCAAUCAGCUGACUUGAGGACUUGUGCUUGAAUUAAAUUUAUAAAAAUCUUGAAAGAAUCAGUUGUUGGUGAACUCUCUGCCUGUUAAGAUGAAUUCUGUAGCUUGGCUUGCUUUGUUCGGAUUGGUGAUUUGGAAAGAGGGAUCUGCUCAAUUAUUGGAUUCGAAUUGCGGAGUAGUUAUUAAACAAAAAGGUUCAUUAUAUUCGGUUUCAUCAAGUCCAUGGAUGGCAUUGAUUGAAUCGCCUAAAAAAAACUGCACUGGCACUCUGAUUAAUAGAAAAUAUGUUAUAACAGCAGCUAGUUGCCUACGUAAUCAAAAUCUAAACUUCGUUCAUUUGGGAUUGUUUGACAGAUCAAAGCUGACAUCUUACAGCAAUAAAUAUAAACCACAAAAAUUUGGCAUUGAGACAUGUUAUAUUAAUAAGAAUUUCAACCGAAGCACAUAUAUAAAUGAUAUUGCGCUGGUCAAGUUAUCGAGGACUGUGAUCUAUAAAGAUCACAUACGACCAAUGUGCAUUUCGCUGAACAGUAAUUCGGUUGACUAUGCUAAGAGUUUUAAGACCUUUAUGGCCACUCGCUGGGGUUUGAACGAAAAACGAAUUUUUUCAAGCCCUUUGGCGCAACCCAUUUUCCAUUUUACAUCUAGAGAAUGCCAUCGCACCUUUAAAAUAAUUCCCAAAAAAUCUCAAAUUUGUGCUGGCUUUAAAAAUGAAUUGAAAUGUGCGGAGAGUGGAAGUCCUUUAAGUGCCAAAAUUACAUAUCCAGGCUCAAAGCACACUUCCAGACAAACUUUAUUUGGAAUUCAGAGUUAUGGCGUUUUGGGAACUUGCUUGUACAAUGAUAUUACGAGUAUACGCGAUUGGAUAAUGGGUGUUGCGUUAGAAGUUGAUAUUAUAGUUUAGGAAAUAUUUUUUAAAAAAUAAUAAUAAAAAAAAAUUCAAUAAAAUGA